UUUCGGGGAACCAGGAGACAGGUGCUGCAUGGCUGUCGUCAGCUCGUGUCGUGAGAUGUUGGGUUAAGUCCCGCAACGAGCGCAACCCUUAUCUUUAAUUGCCAGCAUUCAGUUGGGCACUUUAAAGAGACUGCCGGUGUUAAACCGGAGGAAGGUGGGAUGACGUCAAGUCCUCAUGGCCUUUAUGCUUAGGGCUACACACGUGCUACAAUGGGUGGUACAAAGAGAAGCCAACUCGCGAGAGCGCGCCAAUCUCAAAAAGCCAUCCUCAGUUCGGAUUGGAGUCUGCAACUCGACUCCAUGAAGUUGGAAUCGCUAGUAAUCGCGGAUCAGCAUGCCGCGGUCGAAUACGUUCCCGGGCCUU
rnacentral:rRNA from 1 species